rnacentral:ncRNA from 2 species
AUAUAUACGAGCGACCAGGGUAUCUCCACCCCCGGAUGGGAAGGUUUAAAGGCGAAGCCGGUGAAAGUCCGGCGCUGUCCCGCAACUGUAAAUUAGUUACCCAGUCUCGUCGCCUGAUAGUUAAUAGUCCACCCAAAGACUAUCCAACUACUCGGCUACCCGACUAAACGACUAAUGAGCCAGGCCGCCCGCCUUGGUUGGCUUUUCCAC